GUACACUCCUGCGGGAGGCAGCAGUGGGGAAUUUUGGACAAUGGGCGAAAGCCUGAUCCAGCAAUGCCGCGUGAGUGAAGAAGGCCUUCGGGUUGUAAAGCUCUUUUGUCAGGGAAGAAACGGUGAGAGCUAAUAUCUUUUGCUAAUGACGGUACCUGAAGAAUAAGCACCGGCUAACUACGUGCCAGCAGCCGCGGUAAUACGUAGGGUGCAAGCGUUAAUCGGAAUUACUGGGCGUAAAGCGUGCGCAGGCGGUUUUGUAAGUCUGAUGUGAAAUCCCCGGGCUCAACCUGGGAAUUGCAUUGGAGACUGCAAGGCUAGAAUCUGGCAGAGGGGGGUAGAAUUCCACGUGUAGCAGUGAAAUGCGUAGAUAUGUGGAGGAACACCGAUGGCGAAGGCAGCCCCCUGGGUCAAGAUUGACGCUCAUGCACGAAAGCGUGGGGAGCAAACAGGAUUAGAAACCCGUGUAGUCCCAUGA
rnacentral:rRNA from 1 species